AUUACCCGCCAUCUGCUCGGCCGCAGACAUAAAUUAUCCGCGAGGAGAGGAGCCGCCGAGGCUGCGCGCUGCCCUCGCGCCCCCAACCCCCCAAGCCCGCGCCCGGAGCCCCUCCAGCCCGACGGCCCCAUGGGCGGCCUCCCCCAGAGCGAGUGGCUUUGCAGUGGCCGGGUCACCGGGCCGCCCCGAGGUCCCCGGGCUGCGAGGGUCCCCUGGGGCCCGGGGCGCGGCCUCGGGAGGGGGGCGGCCCCGCGGGGGUGCCCGGGUCACCGCGUCCCUCCGCGCGCCCGGCCGGGACCCGCCGCGGGGAGAGGUCUCUUGAGCUCCCGUUGGGGCCGUCCGGGGCCGUCGGAAGGAAGGGGCAGGGGGGUGGGCGGGGGGAGCGGAGAGAGAAGGGGGCCCCCUCCUUCUUUUCAUUCGGCCCUGAACCCCGCUCUUCCUCCCCAGCACAGCAAGUCCUGUCAUAUAACUGUCUCCCGCACUGUCUGUCCAUAAAGAAUGUCUCGGAAUUGGUGUAAUUCAGAGAAAUUAAUGACGACUUUCCGCGGGACGGCUCCCUGGGGGAUGAUUAACACUUCAUCGUCCAUCUGAUGCGCGGGGCCCGGCGCUCCACCGCGAACAUUUGGGCCGCGGCCAGCCGCAUUAAAGGUUAUUACGGAAAACGCGACCUGCAAACGGGCGAGAGGCAUGAUGGACCAGCAGGGGCGGGGGCUGGGCCGGGGGCAGGGGUCUGGGAGCCGGCCGAGGCGGAGAUCUGGUUGCCCGAGCUGUGCGCACCUGGGGGUCUGAGGCUGGAGGACCUGGGAGUAGGCUGGGAAGGUGUUGGGGAGACCUCAGCAGGGGGCUGGGGAAGGGAAUGGGGUGGCUUUCAACGGCCGACAGGAUGCUGAUGGAAGCUUUCCCUGUCUUUUAAUCCUCGCAGAAUGAUUGGGUCAACUUUAGGAACCCCACUUUACAGGUGACAAGACUGAGGUUCAGAGAGGUCGCAUAGAGUGCCCACAGUAACACAGCUUAUUAAGAGGCAGAGGCAGGAUAUGAACUCAGGUUCUUAACUCCUCUUUCCAGAAGGAGGGCAGAAAGCCUCACUCUCCCAUGUGUCUGCCUCAGCUUCAGGCCUGGGGGUGGGGGGUGAGAUGGGUUGUGUGGGGGAAGCAGACAGGUGCCCACAGAUGCUCACUGCAUGAAGGAAUAAAUUAUCUUUGCAGGUUUCA
rnacentral:lncRNA from 1 species